GGACAAGAGGGCCAUUUGGCUGCAAUAUCUGUCACCCCAGUAGUCACCAGGGUAGAUUUAGGUCAUCUGGCUUGCUAGACAGGUGUCUCUUUUCUCCCUUGUAGCUCCAUCUUUGCCCCUCUCAACACUGAAGGGGGGUUAAAGG
rnacentral:snRNA from 1 species